GAACGCACAUUGCGCCCGCCAGUAUUCUGGCGGGCAUGCCUGUUCGAGCGUCAUUUCAACCCUCAGGCCCCCAGUGCCUGGCGUUGGGGAUCGGCGCGGCGCCCUCCGGGGCGCUGCCGGCCCCGAAAUUCAGUGGCGGUCUCGCUGUAGCCCUCCUCCGCGUAGUAGCUCAACCUCGCGGCCUGGAGCUCGGCGCGUCCAAUGCCGUAAAACACCCAACUUUCUGAAAUGUUGACCUCGGAUCAGGUAGGAAUACCCGCUGAACUUAAG
rnacentral:misc_RNA from 1 species